UACGUAGGGGGCAAGCGUUAUCCGGAUUUACUGGGUGUAAAGGGAGCGUAGACGGUUAUGCAAGUCAGAAGUGAAAGCCCAAAGCUCAACUUCGGGACUGCUUUUGAAACUGUGUAACUAGAGUGCAGGAGGGGUAAGCGGAAUUCCUAGUGUAGCGGUGAAAUGCGUAGAUAUUAGGAGGAACACCAGCGGCGAAGGCGGCUUACUGGACUGUAACUGACGUUGAGGCUCGAAAGCGUGGGGAGCAAACAGG
rnacentral:rRNA from 1 species